rnacentral:sRNA from 1 species
CUAAUAUUCAGAUUUGAAGUGUUUGGUUAUGUUUUUAUAUAUAAUACGACCAAAUUAAUGCGUCAACGUAUAAGAAAACAUAUAAAGAUACCAGAACUUAAAAAUUUCGAAAUUCAAAACUCGAGCGUUGUUAAUAAGUAGCUAAUUGGUUGAAAAGUGCGACUGUGUUCUGUUGUCGUAGCAAAAACGUUGCACCUAGCGACUGUUUUAGUGACAUUUUUGAAACAUUUUACAAAUAAAAAUGCUCGUUAGUCCCUAUUCGGUCGCACAAUAUUUACUCGAGAAACACUUAAUAAAUUUAACAAAAUCUUAAAACGUUGAACAAUCGUCGCAAUUUAGUCACAAAACAUUUACACAAACUUUGCAACGUGCGAAUGUGUUCUGCUGUCGUCGCAAAAAAGUUGCACAAAUCGACUGUUUUGUGACAUUUUGGAAUAGGUCACAAGACAAAAUUUUGAAAUCCACAUAGUUUGAUCCAUUCUAUAGAUAAACAUUACUGAAAAACAACAAUUUUAGCACAUAAAGAACUUUACGUAUACAAAUGAUUAGUUUCAAACUUAUUUGAGAACUUGUUUGAAAAGAUCAAUCAUUAAAAUGAAUUCACAUGAACCUUAUCAUGUAGAUUAGUUUUUUUUGAAUGUUUGGUUUGUAAUAUUCAGAUUUGAAGUGUUUGGUUAUGUUUUUAUAUAUAAUAUCGACCAAAUUAAAGUGUCAACGUAUAAGAAAACAUAUAAACAUACCAGAACUUAAAAAUUUCGAAAUUCAAAACUCGAGCGUUGGUAAUAAGUAGCUAAUUGGUUGCAAAGUGCGACUGUGUUCUGUUGUCGUCGCAAAAACGUUGCACCUAGCGACUGUUUUGUGAUAUUUUUGAAACAUUUUACAAAUAAAAAUGCUCGUUAGUCCCUAUUCGGUCGCACAAUAUUUACUAGAGAAACACUUAAUAAAUUUCAUAAAAUUUUAAAACGUUGCACAAUCGUCGCAAUUUAGUCACAAAACAGUUACACAAACGUUGCAACGUGCGACUGUGUUCUGCUGUCGUCGCAAAAAAGUUGCACAAAGCGACUGUUUUGUGACAUUUUGGAAUAGGUCACAAGACAAACUUUUGAAAUCCACAUAGUUCGAUCCAUUCUAUAGAUAAACAUUACUGAAAAACAACCAUUUUAGGACAUAAAGAACUGUAGGUAUACAAAUGAUUGGUUUCAAACUUGUUUGAGAACUUGUUUGAAAAGAUCAAUCAUGAAAAUGAAUUCACAUGAACCUUAUAAUGUAGAUUAGUUUUUUUUGAAUGUUUGGUUUGUAAUAUUCAGAUUUGAAGUGUUUGGUUAUGUUUUUAUAUAUAAUACGACCAAAUUAAUGCGUCAACGUCUAAGAAAACAUAUAAAGAUACCAGAACUUAAAAAUUUCGAAAUUCAAAACUCGAGCGUUGUUAAUAAGUAGCUAAUUGGUUGAAAAGUGUGACUGUGUUCUGUUGUCGUCGCAAAAACGUUGCACCUAGCGACUGUUUUGUGACAUUUUUGAAACAUUUUACAAAUAAAAAUGCUCGUUAGUCCCUAUUCGGUCGCACAAUAUUUACUCGAGAAACACUUAAUAAAUUUAACAAAAUUUUAAAACGUUGAACAAUCGUCGCAAUUUAGUCACAAAACAGUUACACAAACGUUGCAACGUGCGACUGUGUUCUGCUGUCGUCGCAAAAAAGUUGCACAAAGCGACUGUUUUGUGAUAUUUUGGAAUAGGUCACAAGACAAACUUUUGAAAUCCACAUAGUUUGAUCCAUUCUAUAGAUAAACAUUACUGAAAAACAACCAUUUUAUUACAUAAAGAACUGUAGGUAUACAAAUGAUUGGUUUCAAACUUAUUUGAGAACUUGUUUGAAAAGCUCAAUCAUGAAAAUGAAUUCACAUGAACCUUAUCAUGUAGAUUAGUUUUUUUUGAAUGUUUGGUUUGUAAUAUUCAGAUUUGAAGUGUUUGGUUAUGUUUUUAUAUAUAAUAUCGACCAAAUUAAAGUGUCAACGUAUAAGGAAACAUAUAAACGUACCAGAACUUAAAAAUUUCGAAAUUCAAAACUCGAGCGUUGGUAAUAAGUAGCUAAUUGGUUGCAAAGUGCGACUGUAUUCUGUUGUCGUCGCAAAACGUUGAACCUAGCGACUGUUUUGUGACAUUUUUGAAACAUUUUACAAAUAAAAAUGCUCGUUAGUCCCUAUUCGGUCGCACAAUAUUUACUAGAGAAACACUUAAUAAAUUUCACAAAAUUUUAAAACGUUGCACAAUCGUCGCAAUUUAGUCACAAAACAGUUACACAAACGUUACAACGUGCGACUGUGUUCUGCUGUCGUCGCAAAAAAAUUGCACAAAGCGACUGUUUUGUGACAUUUUGGAAUAGGUCACAAGACAAACUUUUGAAAUCCACAUAGUUUGAUCCAUUCUAUAGAUAAACAUUACUGAAAAACAACCAUUUUAGUAAAUAAAGAACUUUAGGUAUACAAAUGAUUGGUUUAAAACUUAUUUGAGAACUUGUUUGAAAAGAUCAAUCAUGAAAAUGAAUUCACAUGAACCUUAUCAUGUAGAUUAGGUUUUUUGAAUGUUUGGUUUGUAAUAUUCAGAUUUGAAGUGUUUGGUUAUGUUUUUAUAUAUAAUAUCGACCAAAUUAAAGUGUCAACGUAUAAGAAAACAUAUAAACGUACCAGAACUUUAAAAUUUCGAAAUUCAAAACUCGAGCGUUGGUAAUAAGUAGCUAAUUGGUUGCAAAGUACGACUGUGUUCUGUUGUCGUCGCAAAAACAUUGCACCUAACGACUGUUUUGUGACAUUUUUGAAACAUUUUACAAAUAAAAAUGCUCGUUAGUCCCUAUUCGGUCGCACAAUAUUUACUCGAGAAACACUUAAUAAAUUAAACAAA